GAUGAACGCUGGCGGCGUGCCUAAUACAUGCAAGUCGAGCGAACGGACGAGAAGCUUGCUUCUCUGAUGUUAGCGGCGGACGGGUGAGUAACACGUGGAUAACCUACCUAUAAGACUGGGAUAACUUCGGGAAACCGGAGCUAAUACCGGAUAAUAUUUUGAACCGCAUGGUUCAAAAGUGAAAGACGGUCUUGCUGUCACUUAUAGAUGGAUCCGCGCUGCAUUAGCUAGUUGGUAAGGUAACGGCUUACCAAGGCAACGAUGCAUAGCCGACCUGAGAGGGCGAUCGGCCACACUGGAACUGAGACACGGUCCAGACUCCUACGGGAGGCAGCAGUAGGGAAUCUUCCGCAAUGGGCGAAAGCCUGACGGAGCAACGCCGCGUGAGUGAUGAAGGUCUUCGGAUCGUAAAACUCUGUUAUUAGGGAAGAACAUAUGUGUAAGUAACUGUGCAUAUCUUGACGGUACCUAAUCAGAAAGCCACGGCUAACUACGUGCCAGCAGCCGCGGUAAUACGUAGGUGGCAAGCGUUAUCCGGAAUUAUUGGGCGUAAAGCGCGCGUAGGCGGUUUUUUAAGUCUGAUGUGAAAGCCCACGGCUCAACCGUGGAGGGUCAUUGGAAACUGGAAAACUUGAGUGCAGAAGAGGAAAGUGGAAUUCCAUGUGUAGCGGUGAAAUGCGCAGAGAUAUGGAGGAACACCAGUGGCGAAGGCGACUUUCUGGUCUGUAACUGACGCUGAUGUGCGAAAGCGUGGGGAUCAAACAGGAUUAGAUACCCUGGUAGUCCACGCCGUAAACGAUGAGUGCUAAGUGUUAGGGGGUUUCCGCCCCUUAGUGCUGCAGCUAACGCAUUAAGCACUCCGCCUGGGGAGUACGACCGCAAGGUUGAAACUCAAAGGAAUUGACGGGGACCCGCACAAGCGGUGGAGCAUGUGGUUUAAUUCGAAGCAACGCGAAGAACCUUACCAAAUCUUGACAUCCUUUGACAACUCUAGAGAUAGAGCCUUCCCCUUCGGGGGACAAAGUGACAGGUGGUGCAUGGUUGUCGUCAGCUCGUGUCGUGAGAUGUUGGGUUAAGUCCCGCAACGAGCGCAACCCUUAAGCUUAGUUGCCAUCAUUAAGUUGGGCACUCUAAGUUGACUGCCGGUGACAAACCGGAGGAAGGUGGGGAUGACGUCAAAUCAUCAUGCCCCUUAUGAUUUGGGCUACACACGUGCUACAAUGGACAAUACAAAGGGCAGCGAAACCGCGAGGUCAAGCAAAUCCCAUAAAGUUGUUCUCAGUUCGGAUUGUAGUCUGCAACUCGACUACAUGAAGCUGGAAUCGCUAGUAAUCGUAGAUCAGCAUGCUACGGUGAAUACGUUCCCGGGUCU
rnacentral:rRNA from 1 species